UCUACUCUUGCUCGUCAGUAGAAGAUAUCCACAGUAAGGGCUAUUCCCAUUUCAAGGAAGGCGGCAAAUCUUUCUCUAUUUUACGAUCUGAUUUCGUCUGUUUAAAAUCGUCUUAAAUCAGACUUUUCCCUCACAGCUCCUUCUGGGCAUCUACGUCUGUCCUCGGCACCUUAAUAGCUUAUUCAAACAAAAAACAAAAGGCAAUGUAAUUGAUAGAGGCAUACUUCUAUGAAAAGGAAUUGAUAGAGGAAGAUGAAU
rnacentral:lncRNA from 1 species